GACGAACGCUGGCGGCGUGCCUAAUACAUGCAAGUAGGACGCACAGUUUAUACCGUAGCUUGCUACACCAUAGACUGUGAGUUGCGAACGGGUGAGUAACGCGUAGGUAACCUGCCUAUUAGAGGGGGAUAACUAUUGGAAACGAUAGCUAAUACCGCAUAACAGUAUGUAACACAUGUUAGAUGCUUGAAAGAUGCAAUUGCAUCGCUAGUAGAUGGACCUGCGUUGUAUUAGCUAGUAGGUAGGGUAAUGGCCUACCUAGGCGACGAUACAUAGCCGACCUGAGAGGGUGAUCGGCCACACUGGGACUGAGACACGGCCCAGACUCCUACGGGAGGCAGCAGUAGGGAAUCUUCGGCAAUGGGGGGAACCCUGACCGAGCAACGCCGCGUGAGUGAAGAAGGUUUUCGGAUCGUAAAGCUCUGUUGUUAAGGAAGAACGAGUGUGAGAAUGGGAAGUUCAUACUGUGACGGUACUUAACCAGAAAGGGACGGCUAACUACGUGCCAGCAGCCGCGGUAAUACGUAGGUCCCGAGCGUUGUCCGGAUUUAUUGGGCGUAAAGCGGGCGCAGGCGGUUAGAAAAGUCUGAAGUGAAAGGCAGUGGCUCAACCAUUGUAGGCUUUGGAAACUGUUUAACUUGAGUGCAGAAGGGGAGAGUGGAAUUCCAUGUGUAGCGGUGAAAUGCGUAGAUAUAUGGAGGAACACCGGUGGCGAAAGCGGCUCUCUGGUCUGUAACUGACGCUGAGGCUCGAAAGCGUGGGGAGCGAACAGG
rnacentral:rRNA from 1 species